rnacentral:rRNA from 1 species
GUAUAACGCGAAGGACCUUACCAGGUCUUGACAUCCUUUGACCAUUCUAGAAAUAGAGCUUUCCCUUCGGGGACAAAGUGACAGGUGGUGCAUGGUUGUCGUCAGCUCGUGUCGUGAGAUGUUGGGUUAAGUCCCGCAACGAGCGCAACCCUUAUUACUAGUUGCCAGCAUUUAGUUGGGCACUCUAGUGAGACUGCCGGUGACAAACCGGAGGAAGGUGGGGAYGACGUCAAAUCAUCAUGCCCCUUAUGACCUGGGCUACACACGUGCUACAAUGGAUGGUACAACGAGUUGCGAGACCGCGAGGKUKAGCUAAUCUCUUAAAACCAUUCUCAGUUCGGAUUGUAGGCUGCAACUCGCCUACAUGAAGYCGGAAUCGCUAGUAAUCGCGGAUCAGCAUGCCGCGGUGAAUACGUUCCCGGGUCUUGUACACACCGAG